rnacentral:rRNA from 1 species
UACGUAGGUGGCAAGCGUUGUCCGGAAUUAUUGGGCGUAAAGCGCGCGCAGGCGGUCCUUUAAGUCUGAUGUGAAAGCCCACGGCUCAACCGUGGAGGGUCAUUGGAAACUGGGGGACUUGAGUGCAGAAGAGGAAAGCGGAAUUCCACGUGUAGCGGUGAAAUGCGUAGAGAUGUGGAGGAACACCAGUGGCGAAGGCGGCUCACUGGCCCGGUACUGACGCUGAGGUGCGAAAGCUAGGGGAGCGAACGGG